GCGGCGGCGGCGGCGAUGGCGGCGCUGCGGGGACCUGCCGGGCGCUUCCGGUGGCGCGUGCGGGCCGUGCCGGGCGGAGCGCGGGGCGCGGCAGGGCGGCAAUGCUAUGACCUCCUGGUGAUUGGCGGGGGAUCCGGCGGCCUAGCCUGUGCCAAGGAAGAGCACAAUUAUUUGGAGAUUCAUCUGUGUUGCUGUGUGUAUCCAGAGUUCAUGCCUUUUCAUUACUGAUAAGUAUUCCACUGUAUGUCUAGACUACAUUUGGUUGGUUCAUUCGCCUGUGGAUUGGGUUGUUUCCAGUUUUUGGCUGUUGUGAACUGUGCUGCUAUGAACAUUCGCGUGUGUGUGUGUCUUUGUGUGGAUGUGUGUUUUAAAUCUCUUGGAUAAUCUCCUAAAAGUGGAACAGCUGGGUCAUGUGGUAUAUCUCUCAUUUAG